CUUGUAUCAAUGGAAAAUGGGGAGCAAGAGUAAUUUUAAGUUGUAAAAUGGGAUUUAUACAAAAAUGAAAGGAGGAAAUCGUCAUUGAGCAAUGAUCCCUUCCAACCUGAGAAGAACAAAGUUUUCCCACACGUCUUGUCUGUAGGGUCACUGAACAUCAUUCAAAGUGGAAAAAUCAAUGUGCCCUUUCAGCUUUUCCCAACUGUGCCUGCAGAGGUAACAUGCAUUGUGAUACAGCCUGGCAGGGGAAAACCACUACAAUGAAAGGCAUUUGAAAACAUUACAUCAACUCACCACCAGAACCACAUUUAGAAUAUUUUUUAGACAUUUUGAA